GGAUGGAAACACUGUUGGAUUUCUUUUUGUUGUAUUUUAAAUGUUCAAUUAAUUCACUUUUUCCAAGAAACCUACUAAAUGCAGCCUCUAUGUAAAGCACAUAGAAGUGGUACUUAAAAAAAAAAAAAAAACUAUUUUACCAGUUUACAUUUGUUACAUUUAUUUUAAAACCUAAGCAGUUAGAUUUAAGUUACUUUGGUGUUGUGGAACAUAGUCUUCAUAGCAAUAUUAUUGUGUGUUACAUUUCUAGAUCUGUUUUGCUAACUGAAGCCUUGUGAGGUAGGAAGGCUCAUACUUGCAAUCCCAGUAUUUGGACAGUUAAGGCCAGCCAGGGCUGUAUAUAGAGGCCUUAAUCCCACAAACAAACAAAAAACAAAAUCCCCAAAAUCAAUAAAAAGAGAAACAACUUUGUGCAACCCAUUAUAGGAAAUGGGAAGUGAUAUUUAACAACUUGUCCUAUAGCCACAGGUUCCCAUUACUUAUUCAGAUGCUGCAGUAACUAAGUUUCUCCUUUGGAGUUUGCGAGCAUUCAACAUCUGCUCUCACUCCUUAGUUGGAGUGCCAGGCCAGGAUCAUCCCACACUGGUCACCACAGCAGAGUUGCCCAGGAUUCUGUAUUAGCCCCUUGGUAACUAGUGACCCAGUAUUAGGGAAGGUUUUACUCUCUUUGGAUCUCAGGCUCUUUGUCUGCAUCAUGGGGAUGGUAUUAAGUUCCAAAGUGUCACUGGCAUAGACAGAAACACUAAUCUAGAGAACCACUCACUGUCCCCUGGGCUGUGUACUGUGUGUGAGCCAUACCAGACAGAUCCAGCCACAUUUAUGUAUCUUUGCAUAUCUCUGUCUUGUUCUGUCUACUGGUCAUAUUCAGAGGGCCACACCCAAGCACAUGCUCUAGAACCUACCCUGGCAUUUCAUUUAAGGCAGGUAUGCUCAGGGAACAGCUGGGAAUGUCUAGAGAAAUAUUUUUAUUUUAACAACUGGUAGGAGCGACAGGCACCUAGUCAAUAGAGACUAGGCAUGUGGCAUGUAUGGCAGCCCCUUCUCUAGCAAUGAUCCAGUCCAGACAUCCACACUGCUAAAGUUGAGACGCUGACUUAGAGAAUCCCACAGGCUCUGGUGGUACUGUGACUGUACAGACUUACAGCGACAUCGGCUCACAGGUCUAGGGUUUUGCCAAGAUCAGCAAGCUGCUUCCUUAUCAUGAGGUAUUUCUAGAAGUCUAACAGCCCCGUGGUAGCAGAAGACACCGCAUUAGCAAAAACAAACUGAUUCAUCAACGCAGCUCAUCACCUUAGUGGUCUCUGGUGGUUAGACAUUUCAGGUGUAAUCCUUGCAAGGAUAUACAUGUUAAAAUCACGUUACAUGAAUUCAAAAGGAACCUAGAAAUUAUGUUUGAGACAGACAUAAAUUGGAACCCAUGAAGCAGAUCCUAGGGUUCCUUGAACAUUGUUUGAAAAUCAUGUGUAUGAAGUUCUCCUCUCAAGUCUGGCUCUGGCUUAGGACGAGGCAGGCAAUGUAAUUCCCAGUGGCCAGGCAUUGUCACAGACCAGCUUAGCAUUCACCCGAUGACCAGGCUGGAAACCAAAGCUCCCUCUUCAUCUUACACACAUGUGUCUCUCUUCAUCUUACACACAUGUGUCACACAUCUUCAUCUUACAUACAUGUGUCUCUCUUCAUCUUAUACACGUGUCUCUCUUCAUCUUACACAUAUGUGUCUCUCUUCAUCUUACACACAUGUGUCUCUCCUCAUCUUACACACACUUGUCUCUUCCCUUCAGCAGCUGCAGGGACCAACAGCAUGGGACCAAUGCAACUGUGUUCCAGUCUCUUUCCCUCUUCCAUCCAGGCAAACAGCCCUGGGAUCCUAGGCUUUCAGGAAGUACCCUCUGUCCCUUUGUCAUUAAUACUCCUGGGCUCAGUCCAAUCCUUUACUUAUUCUCCAAGGCCUGCACUGUGCUGCUUAGGGCAAUGUUCCUCUUAAAGGAAGCUGAGUGCCUUGUGAGGAAGAAAGGGCUCUGCACCCCCAGUGUGUGCUCUAGAGCCUAGUGCCUCUGUACUUGAUCUGUGAUUGGCUGGCCAUUUGUUAACGUUUGAGUUUCCUCACCUGCAAAUAUUCAUGUUCUCCCUGUGUGCUUGAAGAUGGCUUAACUCUCCUUGUCAUCAUUUAAAUGUUUGUUGUGCUCAUUAUU
rnacentral:lncRNA from 1 species